CCUACGGGUGGCAGCAGUGAGGAAUAUUGGUCAAUGGACGCAAGUCUGAACCAGCCACGCCGCGUGCAGGAUGACGGCUCUAUGAGUUGUAAACUGCUUUUGUACGGGGGUAAACACCGCGACGUGUAUCGGUUUGAAAGUAUCGUACGAAUAAGGAUCGGCUAACUCCGUGCCAGCAGCCGCGGUAAUACGGAGGAUCCGAGCGUUAUCCGGAUUUAUUGGGUUUAAAGGGUGCGUAGGCGGGUUGAUAAGUUAGAUGUGAAAUGUUGGGGCUCAACCCCAAAACUGCCUCUGAUACUGUUGGACUUGAGUAUAGUAGAGGUAGGCGGAAUGUAUGGUGUAGCGGUGAAAUGCUUAGAUAUCAGGCAGAACACCGAUUGCGAAGGCAGCUUACCAAACUAUAACUGACGUUGAGGCACGAAAGCGUGGGUAGCAAACAGGAUUAGAUACCCUAGUAGUC
rnacentral:rRNA from 1 species